rnacentral:rRNA from 1 species
AUUGAACGCUGGCGGCAGGCCUAACACAUGCAAGUCGAGCGAGCGGCGGACGGGUGAGUAAUGUCUGGGAAACUGCCUGAUGGAGGGGGAUAACUACUGGAAACGGUAGCUAAUACCGCAUACCAUCAGAUGUGCCCAGCUGGGAUUAGCUAGUAGGUGGGGUAACGGCUCACCUAGUCAACGAUCCCUAGCUGGUCUGAGAGGAAGACCAGCCACACUGGAACUGUGACACGGUCCAGACUCCGACGGGAGGCAGCUGUGGGGAAUAUUGCACAAUGGGCGCAAGCCUUAUGCAGCCAUGCCGCGUGUGUGAAGAAGGCCUUCGGGUUGGAAAGCACUUUCAGCGGGGAGGCGUUACCCGCAGAAGAAGCACCGGCUAACUCCGUGCCAGCAGCCGCGGUAAUAC